rnacentral:tRNA from 1 species
AGUAAAGUCAGCUAAACAAGCUUCUGGGCCCAUACCCCUAAAAUGUUGGUUAAAACCCUUCCUUUACUA